rnacentral:rRNA from 1 species
UACGUAGGGUGCAAGCGUUGUCCGGAAUUAUUGGGCGUAAAGAGCUCGUAGGCGGUUUGUCGCGUCUGGUGUGAAAAUCCAGGGCUUAACCCUGGACCUGCAUCGGGUACGGGCAGACUAGAGUGCGGUAGGGGAGAUCGGAAUUCCUGGUGUAGCGGUGAAAUGCGCAGAUAUCAGGAGGAACACCGGUGGCGAAGGCAGAUCUCUGGGCCGUAACUGACGCUGAGGAGCGAAAGCAUGGGGAGCGAACAGG